UCCGCGCCAAAACUCCGACGCCGGCUGUCUCCUUCGCCCGUGCCGCUCCUGUCUCGCCUGACCCGUGACCAGUUGGGCCUGCCUUCCAUCGCGACACCCACACUCGGAGUCUUCCGCCAGUCUUCGCCGGAGCUCUGAACGCCGAAGACCCAACCUCCGGUGACCCACCGAAGCCGCUCGACCGUAGGUGAAGAAAGCAG
rnacentral:lncRNA from 1 species